rnacentral:rRNA from 1 species
GAUGAACGCUGGCGGCGUGCCUAAUACAUGCAAGUCGAGCGAACGGACGAGAAGCUUGCUUCUCUGAUGUUAGCGGCGGACGGGUGAGUAACACGUGGAUAACCUACCUAUAAGACUGGGAUAACUUCGGGAAACCGGAGCUAAUACCGGAUAAUAUUUUGAACCGCAUGGUUCAAAAGUGAAAGACGGUCUUGCUGUCACUUAUAGAUGGAUCCGCGCUGCAUUAGCUAGUUGGUAAGGUAACGGCUUACCAAGGCAACGAUGCAUAGCCGACCUGAGAGGGUGAUCGGCCACACUGGAACUGAGACACGGUCCAGACUCCUACGGGAGGAAGCAGUAGGGAAUCUUCCGCAAUGGGCGAAAGCCUGACGGAGCAACGCCGCGUGAGUGAUGAAGGUCUUCGGAUCGUAAAACUCUGUUAUUAGGGAAGAAAAUAUGUGUAAGUAACUGUGCACAUCUUGACGGUACCUAAUCAGAAAGCCACGGCUAACUACGUG